rnacentral:rRNA from 1 species
AAAGGUAAGCUACUAAGAGCGAAUGGUGGAUGCCUUGACUGGUAAAGGCGAUGAAGGACGUACUAGACUGCGAUAAGCUACGGGGAGCUGUCAAGAAGCUUUGAUCCGUAGAUUUCCGAAUGGGGCAACCCAAUGUAUAGAGAUAUACAUUACCUAUAUAGGAGCGAACGAGGGGAAUUGAAACAUCUUAGUACCCUCAGGAAAAGAAAUCAAUAGAGAUUGCGUCAGUAGCGGCGAGCGAAAGCGCAAGAGGGCAAACCCAGUGCUUGCACUGGGGGUUGUAGGACUGCAAUGUGCAAGAGGUAAGUUUAGCAGAACAUUCUGGAAAGUA